ACAGUUCCCAAGGAUGGUCUCAAAAGCCAAGCUGCAUUUGAAGAAAUGAGGGCAAAUUACAUUAAAGAACUAAAGAAGAUGGUAACUAAAUGUCCAAGUAACUCUGGGCAAAGCUGGCAGAGAUUCUACCAACUGACUAAACUUCUUGACUCCAUGCAUGAUCUUGUUAGUGACUUAUUGGAAUUCUGUUUCUACACCUUCCGAGAGUCUCAGGCACUGAAAGUAGAGUUUCCAGCCAUGCUGGUGGAAAUCAUCAGUGACCAGCUACCAAAGGUGGAAUCCGGGAAUGCCAAGCCCUUGUACUUUCACAGGAAGUGAUAGAAAAUGUCUUAAAUGGAAGAACUUUGCCUUAAGUUUCCCUCUGUUAUUCCACACCCAUGAAGGACCCAAGAAACCAUAUUUUAAACAUGCUAUUUACACUUGUUCAGCAGUCUCUGAAUAGUCUAAAAUCAUAUGAAGGGUUUGGGGAAUGGAAAGCAGUUGACUCGGAUUUGGCAAGACCUAGAUGUUUGGAAAUUACCCCAUAACCCUAAAACACUUAGAAAAAUGUUCCUGUUCCUCUGGAUGAAAAGCCAUAUCUAGUCAAUAACUCUUUGAUUUUGAUAUUUUAACAGAUGGAGUUUUAAAUAUGCCAUGUAGUUUCUGGUAUUGUUUGCUUGUUUUAAAAGGGUUCGAGAACUAAUGAGAACUUUUUAAAGCUUACCCUUGGUUUGCACAUAAAACGUAAAGUCAAUAUGGGGCAUUAAUAUUCUUUUCUUGUAAAAAAAAAAAAAAAACAAACAAAAACUAUAUAUAUACACACAUAUAUACACACACACAAACCCUAACGUGUAAAGUAAUAACAGAACAUUUGGUGUGGAAUACUCUGUUAUCCCCACCUGUGGCAUUUGUUAUCCCAUGUUAUCCCGUCAUAGAUGAUAUACACUGUGUUAAGUGUCCAUUUACUAUUUAAUUAAGAAGGAUAAGAUGUGAAAACAAAUGCCCUGGUAUCAAUUUAUAGUAUCUAUUGUGCUGGCUUUACAAAUAAUUUUUUGCAGUCUUUUGCUGUACUGUACAUUGCUGUAUGUAUAAAUUGUGAAGGACCUGAAAUAAGGUGUAAGGAACUUUUGUAAAUGAGACAAAAAAAAUCUUUAAUGGUUAAUAGGAUGAAUGGGAAAGUAUUUUUGAAAGAACUCUAUUUUGCUGGAGACUAUUUAAGUACUAUCUUUGUCUAAACAAACAAGGUAAUUUUUUUGUAAAGUGAAAUGUUCUGCAUGCAUAAUGAACCGUUUACAGUGUAUUUAAGAAAGGGAAAGCUGUGCCUUUUUUAGCAUCAUAUCUAAUUUACCAUCCUACAGUAUCUGUUGUAAAUAACCACACUUAACCUUUUCAGUUGUAUUUAAGCCUUUCUAUUUUCCUCUAUAUUUUUCUCCCUUUUGUCUCGCUUGCAAGUGUAUGUGACUUGAGCACAUCUUAGAAAUCCUGCUUCAUAUUUCUGUCGGAAACUACACUAUGUUGUGUUUGCCACUUUAUGAAGGUUUCAUUUAACAAGACAAAUUACGGUCUCUCCAAAGCUUUUACCAGCUUAAUGAUAUAGUGAGUUCUUGCCCUCUAUCCCCUUUCUCUCUCAGGGGAACAGGGGUGAAUAAGAUGUUGAAUGAUUCUUCUUUUUUUAUUAAGGUUUCCCAGAUUGUUUGUUUUUCCUUUGAAUACUGGAUACAUAAAACAUCUUAAAAGGUCAGAUUAUUAUUAUUUCAGACGGGGGAGAGCGAUUUCUGAUUAUGAUGAAGGGAACAUGCAGAUCAUUACAGUAAGUAUAUUGAACAGAUUUGUACUGGUGAGAGGGAUGGUAAGGUACUGAUAAGGGCAGAUUAGCUGAGUAGAAUUUUUAGUGAUAAACUAAAACCGUGUGUAAUUUUGUAAGCAUUUUUGUAAUAAUCAGAAUACAUCUGAGAAGACAAAUGUCCACACUACAAGUUCAACUCAGUUGGUCUGAUUUUGUCUCAAAAAUGUUUUCUCUAGAGUAAGACUGCAAAGAAAAAAAUUUUUGAGGUGAUUUUCACUAUUUCACAAUUUAUAAGCAAAUACAAAAUUUUGGAGUAGAAUAGAGGACAGGUGAACUUUUCUGAGGCUCAACUGUUGCUACCAUAUGCUCAUGUUUAAAUAGAAUAAUUUUUCAGAGUCCUAAUCUAUAGUGUUCUCUCUGGGUGCCACUGGUAUUCUUGAGCUCUAGUUUGUCCCUUGGCCGGUCAGAAUGUAGCAUUUCUUUUAAAUGGUGGUCAAAUUAAGAAUUCUACACCCUUUCUGAGUCCAAAUUUUGAGGUGCACUGAAGACAGUCAGUGCUACUUGUCUUUUUAAAUGACACCUGCCUUAUGCAAUGGGUAAUCUGUAAAGACUGUAUUCCGAGAGGUUUUUUUAUAUAUAAAUAUAUACAUACAUAUAUUAUUUGCAUUUUGGAAGUCUAAUUCAUAGGCAGAUCUUUAAAUACUGACCUGCACAGCAAUAUGAAAGCCAAACUUCCAACAUGAGAUACACAGCAUGCAGACUGGUUGUUUACAGUAAAGACACAGUCAUACAUCCAUCUUUCCAUUUACAUUUUUUUUUUUUAAAAGCCUAAAACAGAAAAUUUCAAAGCCAGGUUCUGGGUGAAUACAGUCUGCAGCAGCUUUUUAUAUUAACAAAGUUACUGCCUCCUUUUCUGUCUCAGAGUAACUUUGCUUGUUUAAAAUAGCAAAGCCAUAUUCUACACUUCACUGUUAAAUGCCUGUCCCAGUCCAAAUUGUUGUCUGUUUGCUCCUAUUUUUGUACCUUAUUACUUUUAAUCUUGGUUUGGUACAAUUCAUAAUUCACAGAAACUUCAUAUAAUUAAACACACUAAAUUAGUUUUAAAAAGCAAUUUAUAUCUUUAUGCAAAAACGUAUGUCUGUCUUUGCAAACAACUGUAAGCAGAUUAUAAUAAAUCCUUUACUUUAAUCACCUGUUGUUUAUGAAACCAUUCAUUGAUUACUAUUUUUUGCUAGAGAUCAUUGAAGUAAUAGAUACAAUUGGAUAUAGAUGUUGUAAGAGGCAGUAUUCUCUUAUCAAGGACACUUAAGCAGAAUAGCCAUCACUUUUUUUUAUCUAAACCUGUGUACAGCAAAAAAAAACCCACAAACAACCCUAGUUUUUAGCUACCGGGAAGUUAUGUUCUUUUGAAUUUGUUUAGAAUGAAAUAGGCAUUUGUCUCCUGCAAAAUACAAGACAAACUAAAACACCUUUUAGAAGUGGGCUUCUGUUCAUUGAGCUAAGUUAUUUUGUUGUAAGAAGGAACGGGGAUUAUACAGCAAGAUCAUUGUAUACACAGUUAAAAAUGUAAAAUAGUGUUAAUGUACUGCAGUGGGUAUUUCAGGAAUACUACACAUCGUGCGACUGAACAGUUGCGCAAAAUAAAAUAGAAAAGAAAGACUAAAGUUUGCAAUAUCAAAAUCUUAUUAAAAAGAUACUUUACAAUCAAUAAUGCAAAAAGCUAAUUCACAGGGUGGUGUUUUUCACUGACUUGUUUAAACAUUUAUGAAAUUAAACAAUUCUACAGUUAAUGCACUUUUAAUUGUUUAUUAAAGAUUUGACUUUUUCUUUUUUUAGAGCAAUGUUUUCAGCUGGAGGUCAAUGACUUGAUAAGAUAGACAGCAGUUCUGAGGCCAGGAAGCUCAGAGGAAUGUUUAAGAAUUCUUGGAGUUUAAAUAGAUUCCUGGAUGAAAAAUAAAAGCAGCCAGCAGUAUGGUGUAAACAGUAAAAUCUAUGCAUAAUGAUGCAUUUAUAAUUAGGGGUUUGCUUCUGUAUGUUUAAAGCUUUUUAAAUAAAUAGAAAAUAUUGUUUGGUCUUUAUGUUAAUGUCUGCAAGUACCUAUUUUUCUUUUUCUUUUUCUUUUUUUUUCUUUUUUUAUACAAAUUGUACAAAUAUACAUGAAUUAAACUGGUUUGAUUGCAA